rnacentral:lncRNA from 1 species
UGGUCUUCCUACAAGUUAACAACUAUUCUUCUGGGGGUGAGGGUGAUGAUGGAUCUUCUUUACUAGUUACAACAGACGUUAAUUCUACACCGGGCACAUCAGUGGUUGCAGAAAUCUGGUUUGAAGUUCCAACCACUGGAUUCUGGAUGUUUAAUUCACCAAUGCUGCUUUCCGCUACUUCAUUUUGCUCAUCCAUGGCUGCAAAAAUCUGGUUUGAAGUUCUAACCACUGGAUUUUGGAGGUUUAACUCACCAAUGCUGCUUUCCGCUACUUCAUUUUGCUCGUCCAUGGCUGCAGAUAUCUGGUUUGAAGUUCCAACCACUGGAUUUUGGAGGUCUAACUCACCAAUGCUGCUUUCCGCUACUUCGUUUUGCUCAUCCGUGGCUGCAGAUAUCUGGUUUGAAGUUCCAACCACUGGAUUUUGGAGGUUUAACUCACCAAUGCUGCUUUCAGCUACUUCAUUUUGCUCAUCCAUGGCUGCAGAAAUCCAGUUUGAAGUUUCAACCACUGGAUUUUGGAGGUUCAACUCACCAAUGCUGCUUUCAACUACAUUUUGUUCACCAUGGCAUGACUCAGAAGGCAUCUCUGAGUUGUAUGUAGUAUCAUAUGUAGGUUGGACAGAUUCCACAUCACUGACCACAUCUCUCGUCUCAACAACAGUGGUGGUUUUCACAUUGAGAACAUCUAACGCAUCCAAACUUCGAUUCUCAGUUUCAACCACUGGAUUUUGGAGGUUUAACUCACUAGCGAUGUUUUCAGCAGUAAGAUUAUUUGCUUCAGUUACUUCAUUAUGUUCACCAUGGCAUGUUCCAGAAGGUGGCUCUGGGUUGCAUAUGAUAACAGAUGUAGGCUGAACAUACACCACAUUAAGUAACUCAUCUCUUACCUCAAUGGCAGGAGCUGAUUCCACACUGGGAACAUCUAUAACUUCAGUACUUUCGUUCUUGGUCUCAACCAGAUUUUGAAGGUUCAGCUCAGCAACGCUGCUUUCAGCAGUAAUAUUCUUUACUUCAGUUAGUUCAUUAUGUUUACCGUUGCAUGUUUCAGAAGAUAGUUCUGGAUUGCAUAUGGUGUCAUAUGUAGGUUGAACAUAUUUCACAUUGCCCACCUCAUCUCUUACCUCAACAACAAAAGUUGCUUCCACAUUUGGCACGUCUAGAGCUUGCACAAUUGGGUUCUCACUUUCAAUCUCUGAAAUUUGGAAGUUCAAUUCACCAAUGCUACUUUCAGCAGUAGUAUUCUUUGCUUCAGUUGUUUCCUUCUGUUCACCAUGGCAUCUCUCAGAAUGCAGAUUCUGAUUACAUGCAGUAUCACAUGAAACUUGAACAUGUUCCAUAUCACUGACCUCAUCUCUUACCUCAACAGCAGAAAUGGAUUCCACAUUGGGCACAUCUAAGGCUUCCAAACUUCGGUUCUCAGUUUCAACUGCUGGAUUUUGGAGGUUCAACUCACCAAUGGUGCUUUCAGCAGUAAUAUUCUUUGCUUCAAUUACUUCAUGAUGUUCACCAUGGCAUGUUUCAGAAGAUGGCUCUGGAUUGCAUACAAUAUCACAUGUAGCUUGAAUGCAUUCCAGAUUACUGACUUCAUCCCGUGCCUCCAUAACAGAAGCCGAUUCCAUACUGGGCAUCUCUAUAUCUUCGGCAUUUUGGUUCUCAGUUACUUCAGUAUGUUCAUCAUUGCAUGUUUCAGAAGAUGGCUCUGGAUUGCAUACAAUAUCACAUGUAGCUUGAAUGCAUUCCAGAUUACUGACUUCAUCUCUUACCUCCAUAACAGAAGUCGAUUCCAUACUAGGCUUUUCUAUAGCUUCAGCAUUUUGGC